rnacentral:lncRNA from 1 species
AUGUCUCAAUCUGCACUUCACUCAGAGCCUCUUGGUCCUGGCCACUGUGAGUCCCUGGUCCAGGAUCCAAAGUAACUCAGCAGAAACAAACUUCCAACUAAAAAUCCCCUCGAAUGUCUCCCAGGGAAGAAAUAUAGCUCCUAUAAUUACAGGAGGCUACCGCCGGAGGGGAACGCAGCCCGCAGCCAAAAACCAAGAAAGACCAAGUAGGAAAGAACACAUUCUUCUCCAUUCUUGGCAGAGCAGAGCUGAGAGCAGCACCUGAUACUUAAGCAAUGCUCCCACAAAGGUAAAAUAGAAACAAAACAAAAACAAAAACCCAGGGAUGGAAAUGGAAAGGAGCCUGAGGAAAAGAAGGUCCAGUGACAGGCCCAAAGUGGGGUCCAGCUGAAGGGGAGGUCCCAAGGCCUGACACUAUACUGAGGCUGUGGAGUGCUCACAAAAAGAGACCUAGCAUGACCGCACUCCAGAAGACCCAACAAGCAGCUGAAAGAGUCAGAGGCAGAUAUUUGUACCUAACCAAUGGACAGAAGCAGUAAACUGUGUUGUUGAACACAUCCCCACUAAAGAUGCACUAUCAGUGAACAGUCUGAAGCUCUACAGUGUGUGCAAAUGGAAAGUUACAGUGAAAAUCUGGGGACUCUUUCUAUAGCCUCAUACAUUAACAGUCUUAGAUCAAGGAAGAAUGCACAUCUUGAAUCCAGGACAACAAAAACAAACUUGAUCAAGUAGUUUCUUGGGAUCAUUCGUUCUGCUCACAAGCCUAGGUUGCUGUUAAAUACAAGAACAACUUUCAUCUCUAUCAACGGGAAGGAAGCUGUUGACCUGAUACCUUUGAGAAACUUGCUGGGCCAGUGAAAGAGAAACAGAGAAAAUAUUUUCUGCAAUUGGUAAACUUGCUGUUUUCAGAAGGUCAAAAGGCAAACAAACACGUGACACAUGUACCUUGUGAAAACCAUGCCACUCUGGCUCCAAACUCCUACAGCAAGUGGUUCUCCAGGGGAAGACUGCCUGCAGGCACUGCAGUGUGUCUGUGGGACUCUAGUCCCCACCCCACCCCCACUCUGAGUUCAUCUGACUAAGUCUGAGGAAAAGAAUGGCUAUGAUGUGGAUCCCAUUUUCAAUGAUUUUUAAAUUGUAUUUAAAAAAGAAAAGAUUUCCUAGUAAUUGAGUAUAUAAAAGUCCUUGAUAUUAAAUUUCUCUUUAAAUAAAAUAUACUUUAAUUGACGUCAAUUUAA